AUUGAACGCUGGCGGCAGGCCUAACACAUGCAAGUCGAACGGCAGCACAGAAGAGCUUGCUCUUUGGGUGGCGAGUGGCGGACGGGUGAGUAAUGUCUGGGAAACUGCCCGAUGGAGGGGGAUAACUACUGGAAACGGUAGCUAAUACCGCAUAACGUCGCAAGACCAAAGUGGGGGACCUUCGGGCCUCACACCAUCCGAUGUGCCCAGAUGGGAUUAGCUAGUAGGUGGGGUAAUGGCUCACCUAGGCGACGAUCCCUAGCUGGUCUGAGAGGAUGACCAGCCACACUGGAGCUGAGACACGGUCCAGACUCCUACGGGAGGCAGCAGUGGGGAAUAUUGCACAAUGGGCGCAAGCCUGAUGCAGCCAUGCCGCGUGUAUGAAGAAGGCCUUCGGGUUGUAAAGUACUUUCAGCGGGGAGGAAGGCGGUGAGGUUAAUAACCUUGCCGAUUGACGUUACCCGCAGAAGAAGCACCGGCUAACUCCGUGCCAGCCGCCGCGGUAACAC
rnacentral:rRNA from 1 species